rnacentral:rRNA from 1 species
UCAAUGAUUUUUAAUUAAAUGGCCGCAGUAUAUUGACUGUGCAAAGGUAGCAUAAUAAUUAGUCUAUUAAUUGUGGACUUGUAUGAAUGAUUAUAUGAAGUAUUAUUUUUAUUAUUAAUAUAUUUUGAAUUUUAUUUUUUUGUUAAAAAGCUAAAUUGAUUUUUAGGGACGAGAAGACCCUAUAGAACUUAAAAUUUGUAUAUUUUGGUUAUUUAUUUUAUAUUACUUUUAGUUAAAUUUUUAUUUGGGGUGAAUUGUAAAUUUAAACUUUAUUUUUAUGUUUCAUUUAUAGUUGUUUUAUUUGAUCCAAUUUUUUUGAUUAUAAGAUUAAGUUACCUUAGGGAUAACAGCGUAAUUUAAGUGGGGAGUUCAUAUUUAAAUUUAAGAUUGCGACCUCGAUGUUGAAUUAAGAUUAGUAUAGGGGGUAGAAUUUCUAUAAUUAAGUCUGUUCGACUUUUAAAUUCUUACUUGAUCUGAGUUCAGACCGG